GGGCGCGAUGGCGGACUGGGCUCGGGGUGAGCAUUGGGGAGCGGAGGCAGGUGGCGGCGGUGCUGGAACCGAUGCCGCUGCCUGCAGGAGUCGCUUUCGCCCGCCCCCGCCUCUCUGGGUGGCUUUGGCCGGCAGACACUGAGAACAGGCGGAGCCAGGGCGGCGUGGGUGGGGCCCUCGGGCGGUCUUGCCCGGCUUCUCGGUGAAGCUGCGGGGUCCGGAUGUCCGCUGUCCCCACCCCUUCCGCCCUCGUGAGACUGUUCUGCACGGGACCUCAGCCAGACGGGCUGGUCGACUGUUCCGGAGGCCAGCCCCAAGGAGUGAGGGCUGCGCGUGAUGGCCCAAGAAGGCCUCGUACCGACUGGGACUGGGAGUGGCCCACUUGCCCUCUGGGAACCCCUGUUCUUAUCUGCGAAGUGGGAUGCUGAUGCUUGUUUCCGCUGGGCUUGCGGCAUUUACAGAUUUAAUGGAUGAAAGCGCUCAGAGCCCCGGCGCUGUGGAGGAGAUUCUAGACCGGGAGAACAAGCGGAUGGCGGACACCUUGGCCUCCAAGGUCACCAGGCUCAAGUCGCUGGCCUUGGACAUUGAUAGGGAUGUGGAGGACCAGAACCGGUACCUGGACGGCAUGGACUCGGAUUUCACGAGUGUGACGGGCCUCCUCACGGGGAGUGUGAAGCGCUUUUCCACAAUGGCGAGAUCUGGGCGAGACAACCGGAAGCUUCUCUGUGGUGUGGCCAUGGGCCUGAUCGUGGUCUUCUUCAUCCUCUCCUACCUCCUGUCAAGGGCAAGGACGUGAGCCAGUGGGAACUGGUUUCUGUAGGUACCUGGGACAACCAGGGUCUUCCUCUGCCUUGUGUCCUGGGCUCCAGAAGAUCUACCUACAAAAUACCCCUUCGAAGUGAUGAGCAUGGCUUAGGAAUCUUUUUCCUGUGUGGCUGGGAGCCUCUGACCCAGUAAGCUCAUGUUAGCUGGUCCCAUGUGUGCAAGGGGCCCAUCCCCAUUGGGUAACCAAGGCCCAGCUUCCUCUGCCAUCUUGGGUGCUAGAAGCCCUAGCAGAGCCAGGUUGGAGCAGAGCAGCUGGGAAUCCUGGACGUGACCACCUGUGACCAGCAGCCCUUCCCCCAGCCCUCAGGGUUCUGAUGUAUUGAGGCUUCUCUGCUUGGUCUUGGUCUGGAUAAGGCCACGUCUGGUAUUCGAGGUGCCCAGAGCCGACACAGGAAGGGGUGCGACUGUGAACCUCGAAUCAUUGCUGUCACUUUCAGCCAAGGGUCCUCAAACCAGAGAUGGCCGUUGCUCCUGGCCAGGGCUGCCGGGCACUGGUGGACCAGCAAGAGUCAAGGGUCCUGCCGAGAGGUGUCUGCCUGCCGUCCAACCCCAUGGCUGGAGCCCGACCCUCAGGGAAGGGCAGUGGCCAUGCGUGGAGAAGUGAACUGCAGCAUUGGCUGAAGACGCGGGCCCAGGUCCUCCUGGUCUCCCUGUGUCCAGGAGCAGAAACUGACCUUUUCUCAGGAUUCAGGGUCUGUCCAGCACCGAGACACGUUUCCAGGAGCCCAGAUCUCUAGAAAGAGGCUCAUCUGGCAUGUCAGAGUCAGGCAGGGUGUGAGCAGGGGCCUCUGUGGGUACAGCCUGGAGGCUUCCAGGUAACAGCUUUUCAUAGGAUCUGUAGGUCGCUUUUUGAGGGUCCGCGGACAGUUUCCACCGAGUCUGGCCCUUCCACCUACAGUAUCUGCCCAUCUCUCCUUGGGCCCUCAGUGCCCACUGGUCAGUCUCCUGCUCACACAAGGUGAACUGCAGUUUCUUCCAAACCAAUGGGUCUUUCUACCCCACUGUGAGAUCUCAGUGUCUUCCCAUGAAAACACCUGUAAGAAACGAGUCAUCAGCUCUGUCCUUCCCGUCUUUUGUUCCAGUUCUCUGUCUUCCUGGUCACUCCCCUUCACUCUCUGAGGGCUACCGGCUCACCGGCCAUCUUCACACAUACACAUGUGGUCAUAUGUCAGCCACAGCCUGUGCCUCUCGACUCCUGCCACCCCACCCUGCUCUGGUCUCUGGCCCUGGGCACCUCACCUUCUGGCCCUGCUGCUCCUGCUCCUCCUCUCUCUCUCCUUUGUUCUCCACCGAGCAGGCCUGGCUUGUCUCACACUCACCAUAAUGCCCUUCUCUUUUCCACUGCGCCUGGUUGGGCCUCAGCCUUCUGGAAGGGGAGCGUGCUACCUUCUCAUUUCCGAGUGCUCUGUUCUUACUGCCUCCAUCCCUCCAGUGUGUGCUUGUUUCUCACUCGGUGAGGUCCGCUUCCUUGCCUCCAUGGCUUCGACUCAGCCGUCAGCUCAUCUCAUGUUGAAAUUUGUCACAGGGACGUGCCUACUGUUCAUGAAGCUCAGCAGCUGCUGCCGUGUCGUGUUUCCAUCGGGUCACCACAGGCACGGCAGACACAUCAGACCUGAGUGUGGCAGCCGCCUGUUCUGGGCCUGCUAACCUGGCUUCCUGAGAAUAUGGCUCAGCCAUGGCUGUUGCUCCCCCCAGGAUGCUCUUACCUGCUGUGCCCACUCGUCUUGCCAGUGCAGACCAGGAAUUGAGGAUUUGCCUUUCAGAAUGACUGUCUCAAGAAGUGCUCUGCCCCCUCCGAGACCUCUGGUUGCUGUGUUCUCUCCUUGGGUCCCCACCUCUGCCUCCCCACUUCAUUUCCAUGGCUCUUGGCAGCUCUUCCAGCUAUUUUGGGGUCUGGGUUUUUGUCUCUGUCUGGUUUACUUUUUUGUUGCAUUAGGCUGAGUUCCUGAAUGCUGCUGCCACCACGUCGGCAGGGUUUUCUGUGGGGCCUGCACCCUUCUGCUCAGCCCUGUGCACUCAGCACCUCCUCCUGUGGAUAAGUGGGGUUUGCUAAGUGGCCCUUCAGACUAAAACAGAAGAGGCCUUGGAGUCCUCUGUGCCAAGGGAGGGCCCCAAGUCAAGGACAAGGCAUUUGGUCAUAAAAACUUGGAAUAAACAGAUUCUCGAUUAAGU
rnacentral:lncRNA from 1 species